CGGAAUUUAAGGGGAAGAAGAAAUUAUCAGGGUGCUGAACACCAUAUAUCUGAUGAGGAAGAAGAUGGUAAUCAUGAUGUUGGCAAGGAUUCUUCCUCUGCUGAUGAGCGCUCGAUAGAAGUCAAACCAAAGCGGCAGAAAAAGAGGGCAGGACGGCCUUCUCAGGCCUCAGCAGCCAGUGAAGAAAAUGAUGCAGAAACAAACCAAGAAUCAUUUGGUGCAUGUAGUGGACUUAUUCGCUGUUCAGAAAUUCUUGCCUGGGGAAAAGGUGGCAUGCGAAGUAACAACAGGCAUGGGGGUCUUGGUGGAGGCAUUGGCAAAGUCUCCAGGAACAGCAGAGUCUCGAAGCUAAUUGCUUCUCUAUCUCGUUCAGAUGAAUAUGAAGGGAAGUUGGAUGCCAGACUUAUGCUUGUUUCCUUUUCCGAGGAGGAUAUACCAAGUUUGCAACGACCUUACCUUAGUUGCCAGCCAACUAUGGAAGUUAAACAUUUAAGACAGUAUGUAGCUCAGCAGACUUCCAUAGAAGUCGGGGAAAUUGACAUAGUGCUGAUAAAAGAGAAGAACCCCACUGACAACCCUUCAAGUUCUGAUAUCAUGGCCAUUUCCAAACCCAUUGUUGGAGAUCCUUCUAAAGCAGAAAUCCAGACUGUGGAAGAGCAUCAGACACUGGGAGAAAUCCAAGAAACAUUUGGUUUGAACCAGCGUAAUCUGAUCUUAGCAUACCAACGAAAAGCAAAGAAUGGG
rnacentral:misc_RNA from 1 species